UGCUUCUAUGGUGAGGUCAGUAAAAUGGCCUCUUUAGUGAGGUCAAUUGAAUUGCCCAAUAAAAUUUUAAGUGAUGCCACAUCAGCUUUACAUUGUAAUGAAGCUGCUGUUGUGAAGUCAACUAUGAUUUCUCUACUGAGAAAACGCAUGGUCUGAUAUUCUCAGUAUAGAAAGGAAACAACGGAGAAAACAAUUGACAAGUUUGAAGUUGAAGGGCUUAGCAUAGGAAAUUGUUGCAUAGGAAAUAGUUGCCUGUAAAAUUGAGAUAAGCUCAACUAGUUUAUACAACAAUGAUCUAUAUUUAAGCUGAGUAAUAAUGUAAAGCAUUGUGUUACAAUUCAAGGUUAUACAAUGUACCUUAAAGCUUUGUAAUUUGAGUUAUACAAUGAUAUCGUAGAUAAUGCCUUGUAAUAGAGUUCAAUUUUACAUGCACGAUCUUAACAAAUGUAUACAUUCAUAUUUAUAUACAAUGAUAAAUUUGUGAUUGAUUGCUUUUUA